rnacentral:rRNA from 1 species
UACGUAGGUGGCAAGCGUUGUCCGGAUUUAUUGGGUUUAAAGGGUGCGUAGGCGGUUUUGUAAGUCAGUGGUGGAAUACUCCAGCUUAACUGGAGGGGUGCCAAUGAUACUGCAGAACUUGAGUACAGAUGAGGUAGGCGGAAUUGACGGUGUAGCGGUGAAAUGCAUAGAUAUCGUCAAGAACACCGAUAGCGAAGGCAGCUUACUGGGCUGUAACUGACGCUGAGGCACGAAAGUGUGGGGAUCAAACAGG